GGGGGUAUAGCUCAGUGGUAGAGCACAUGCUUACAUGCACAAAGUCCUGGGUUCUAUUCCCCGGUACCUCUA
rnacentral:tRNA from 1 species